ensembl:lncRNA
GGCGUGAAUAGCCUUUACAUGGAGCUUUGUGGGAAUGAUUGUCAGUGCGGCUUAAUGAGGGUCUUUGCCAAGUGAGAGGCUUUGGCAACAUAUGUGUCUGUGCAACCUCCCUGUGUGUCUCUCCCUCUCUCUAUGUGUGUAUCCGGCGAAGUGUGUGAAACGCAACAGAGAGAGAGAGAGAGCACAUACAUAUAUGCAUUCACAUAAACACACAUACACACAUUCGCACAAACACGCACACAUACAAUCCAAACACACAGUAUCUGUCUUUUUCUUUUUUUCUCCCGACUCUGUUGUCCAUAGUCUGUUGGAUUUUAUCUGCCAUGGAGACUUAAAUCAUGUAGCAUCAUCACUGGGCCAACAGCACCGGACAUGCGUGUCUAUCUGAGACAUGACGCUGAACAAGAACCCAGGAUCUGUGGCACUUCUCUGCCUGCUAAUCUCUGCCCAGGCCUUUCCUCUCACUGCUGCCAUGGAUAUCCCCCUGGAGGUUUUAGAGCAAGCCAACAGUAAGUUCUCUAGUUGGUAUUCAUUUAGUAAAAUCACCGGCCCUGUGUUAAUAUCCUGGCUGGGUAAUGCCCACAGCAGCAGUCAGUCACCUUUCCCAUCGUCCAGUGUUAAUUUAUCACCUCAUGUCUCAUCGUUUUGUACUUUAUAACACCAUCACCUCUAGGAUUACAUGGCUAGAUUUCUUUUUUUGUCAUCACUAGCACUGCGUUUAUUUAUCGCAUCUCAUUCCCACAACAAAACAUAAGGAGGGCCAUUCAGUCAAGCCAUUCAUAACACAAAUCAUACUUCAUGAUGUUGUUCUUUUCCUAAAUUAUGUAUGUUAAUUAAAGGGUCCAAACCC